GGUAGUGGUGGCACAGUGGUUAAGGCAUCAGGCUAAUGAGCAGAAUGUCAUGAGUUCAAAUCCCAGUGUGACCA